rnacentral:lncRNA from 1 species
UGGAAAACAUUUUGAAACAUAAUGAUUUUAUUUAUAUUUUAUUAUUUAUAUUUUCAUUAUGUUUAGGGUUGCUUGGAGGUAAAUGAAGAAAGAAGAGUUCCGCAUGAGUGAGGCAGGGAUGUCAGUAUAUAAGGAAUUGGAAAAACAUCGGUAAUAAUGGCAAAAACUGCUUAUAAAUUAAAGAAUGAAUUGCUCAGAAAUAAUUGGCCAGUGUCAACCACAUAUCUGUUUCCAUGGAAACUGCAGCAAUAUUACUUCGAAUAAUUUCAUUUGUGAAUGUGAUGAACAAUUUUCAGGCUCAACCACAGGAAUUAUCUCUUGGAGUCUCCGCAUAGGUUCAGUGUUGCUGACCUCCAGCAGGUGAGAGUGUCCUGCUUCCCCCGCCCAGACCUCCAGAGAGACUUCAUUCCUGGAGAAGUCAGCAAGGAAGAUGGGAGGGGGUGUCUGUAGUUUACUGAAGACAGCAGUCUGCAGCUUUUCUGCAGCUCUGGGUGGGUUACCCUGCUGCCCCAGUUUCCUGGGCAGGGACGGAUACCCCCAGCACCCUGGAAUAAGCAAGCACUCCAGCAACCCCAGGAUCAUAGGAAGAGAGUUUGGAAUACUCCUUUCCCCAGGGGGAGGGUACAGUGGAGUCGGGUCUCAUCUGUGAGUCCCAUUAGCCCUGAGUGACCUCAGUGCCCACGGGCUGGACACUGGCACUGCUCAGCCUGACUCAGGGAGGUUUUCUUUUCUUGCACACAUGGAAACUGGGGGUAGAAGUUCUCCAGGCAGGGUGCCAUGGUGCCUCAGUGCAGCUGCUUGAAAGGCCUGGGGCCUCAGUUUACCAGCCCUCCGCAGAUGGCAAACAGGGUGUAUAAAGGAUUCCUCAAGGCCCUGAUCGAAUUUGCCUCCCAGCACGUCUACAACUGCGACCUAUGCACCCAGCGCGGCUUCAUCUGCCAGAUCUGCCAGCACCACGACAUCACCUUCCCCUUUGAGUUUGACACCACAGUCAGGUGUGCCGAGUGCAAGACCAUCUUCCACCAGAGCUGCCAGGCUGUGGUGAAGAAGGGCUGCCCCCGCUGUGCCCGCCGGCGCAAGUACCAGGAACAGAAUGUUUUCACCUUAUGCCCAUCUGCUGACCCCGUUCUGAAGGCCGGGGUUGAGUGCGGCUCAGCCAUCCCAGCUGGGUUUGCCAUCAGCCCAGGAUACUUACCGUGUCACAGCUGUGUCCUCUUGUCAGGAAGACCCUCAAAUGUGACCAGAGCACUGGCCUUCCAGAGAAAGCCCAGGACGUUCCUCCGAUGUCCCUUGGCCCCCUCACCACCCCUCUGCUGCAGGAGGCGUGGCCACCACCAGAUGCUCCCUGUCUCUGGGCAGACAGGGUCUUUUACUCACCAGGCCCUGGCUCACCAGCAUCCCGGCACCUCCGUUAGGGCUGCCCAAACACUGUGGAAAGGAGGCUUGGGGAGCAUUUUCAAUUCCACAUUCCUGAUUAAAAUGUCUUGUUUUAUAAGGUGGGUUUUUCCCAUUCAUAUUUCAACAGAAAGUAUUUUUUUAUUCUUACCCUACGUGAGUCACCCAUGA